UACGUAGGGACCGAGCGUUGUCCGGAAUCAUUGGGCGUAAAGAGCGUGUAGGCGGCCUGUUAAGUCUUGCGUGAAAUCUCGGGGCUCAACCCCGAGCGGUCGUGAGAAACUGGCAGGCUAGAGUGCGGGAGAGGAGAGUGGAAUUCCUGGUGUAGCGGUGAAAUGCGCAGAUAUCAGGAAGAACACCCGUGGCGAAGGCGGCUCUCUGGAACGCAACUGACGCUGAGACGCGAAAGCGUGGGUAGCAAACAGG
rnacentral:rRNA from 1 species